rnacentral:rRNA from 1 species
AUGGAGUUGAGAUCGGGCCGUCGCCUCCAUUUCUCGCGACAGCGGCUAGGUCAACCAAGCGGCGGUGACGGCGGCGGACCGGACCUCAUCAGCGCCCUCCCCGACGACCUGCUCCUCCUCGUCCUCGCCCGUCUCCCCUGCGCGGGCGCCGCCGCGCGCACCGGGAUCCUCUCCCGCCGGUGGCGCGACCUCUGGCCCCAUCUUCGCCGGAUCGUCUUCCGCGACAUCGCGUUCGACUCGAUCGAACCGGCGCUCGGCCGCAUCUCUCCCGUGGUUUCCCUCCUGGAAAUCCACGCCCGCGCGUCAACUCGCCGCUGGUCGACUGACCGGGUCGACACCUCCCGCGUGAACUCGCUGCUGCGCGCCGCCGCAAGGCUGGAGCCGGAGGAGCUCGUCUUCGGCCUCUCGUCGGCCUUGAUCGGCGAUUCCCCAGUCGUCGAUCUGCCCUGCUUCAACCGGGCCACUUCCAUCAAGCUCGGCCUUUUCUCCGCCAUACGCGUGCCGGCCGGCGUCGAGGUCGAGUUCGCCGCGCUGGAGACGCUGUACCUGGCGUGCCGCAUUGACACCCUCGACUCCUUGCUCUCCAGCUGCCCGCGCCUGCGCACGCUCUAUCUCAGCAGCACUGAAUGGACACGCAGUGUCAACAUUGUUGCCCCCGUGCUUAAGCAGUUGACCAUGUCCCUCACCGCCUCGAAGAUCAGCGUCAUCUCCGUCUUGGCACCAUUGGUGGAGAAGGUCUCAUGGAAAUGCUGCUAUAUGAAUGGGUCUAUUACAUUUGGUCUUUGGCUACUUGAGCAGGUGCCGCUACAGACGGCAAAGAGACAAGGACAGCUCCCCUCGCUGCACAUUCGUGCCCACUGCGACUUGUCUGUGUAUCAGGAUGAGGCGGAUAACUUUAAGCAGGAGAUAGAGAAGCAUUUGGUUGCUGCCUUCUCUGUUUUGGAGCUAAAUCUCACAACAGAGGGGCAUGUUUUUGGGUCAUUGGUAUUUGAGCUCUUUGGGAUAGAUCGAAUUCGUACUGAUGUGCGGAGGCUUAAGGUUGUCCUAUCAAGAAAGAUCGAGGAAGGAUGCCUACCAAAUUAUUGUCCUUGCGAGGCCACAGGCUGGAGAUCCCAAACUAUCUCCUUGACUGCUCUCGAGGAAGUGGAGAUCAAUGGCUUCGAAGGAGAGGAUCAUGACUUUGAUUUUUUGAAACUGAUCGUCAGAUGUGCACCGAUGCUUAAUAGAAUGAUUGUGAAGUUGUCACAGGAGGCCUCCACAAAUAAUGAUGUGUGCGCAAAGAUAUACAACAUGUUCGGGGCGUAUUCUUCGGUGGAAUGUUGUGUAUAUCAUAGCUCUGAAAUAGAUGCUAAAUGGUAG